rnacentral:rRNA from 1 species
AACGAACGCUGGCGGCAUGCCUAACACAUGCAAGUCGAACGAGACCUUCGGGUGUAGUGGCGCACGGGUGCGUAAGGCGUGGGAACCUGCCCUUAGGUUCGGAAUAACUCCCCGAAAGGGGUGCUAAUACCGGAUAAUGUCUUCGGACCAAAGAUUUAUCGCCUUUGGAUGGGCCCGCGUUGGAUUAGCUCGUUGGUAGGGUAAAAGCCUACCAAGGCGACGAUCCAUAGCUGGUCUGAGAGGAUGAUCAGCCACACUGGGACUGAGACACGGCCCAGACUCCUACGGGAGGCAGCAGUGGGGAAUAUUGGACAAUGGGCGAAAGCCUGAUCCAGCAAUGCCGCGUGAGUGAUGAAGGCCUUAGGGUUGUAAAGCUCUUUUACCCGGGAUGAUAAUGACAGUACCGGGAGAAUAAGCUCCGGCUAACUCCGUG